UUUCUUUGUUAAUAUUUAGGAAUUAAUGUCAAUCUUUUAUUUCUUUGUAAGUCUGUUAAUCUUCUGUAUCGAAUGAACUCUGUAGAAUCUUCCAUCACAGUUUGCAGAUCAGAUGAAAAGUCUCUUUCCAACAGUCGAUGUCCAGUUGUCUGAAGGAAUGCUUUCCUGAUUUAUUGCCACAAGGAUCUGUCAUGCUUUACCAGAUCAGUUAUCUCUGUCUAUUUCGUUGCUUCAGCCACACAGAUGCGCAG